AGAAAUUCAGCUUUUUUGUAUAUGAUAAACAUCGCCAUGGUACAAAGUGCCAAACGAGGUUUUUUAAACAAAAUGCCAUCGGAGUAUUACUUCCACGCGUUUAUAAUUCACCACGAGGAUUAGUUAAUAAAAGAUAGAAUUUAAAAAAAGAUAGAAUUUAAGAUUUUGUAACUUUCAAAAAGUCAAACUUCAUGUCAGAAGCUUUAGAUGAUGACUUAAUGUUUAAUACACAACAACAGCCACAUUCUGAACCGCAACAACAACCACAAUGAAUGCAAGAACUAGCUGAAACGCAACAACUACAACCUUGACAUAUUUUAAACCAUGAUUUAAUUAAUAUUUUAUAACGUUAAAAUGUAACUUUUACUUUUUUAUAAUAACAUAAAUUUUUUUCU